UACGUAGGGUGCAAGCGUUAAUCGGAAUUACUGGGCGUAAAGCGUGCGCAGGCGGUUUUGUAAGUCAGGUGUGAAAUCCCCGGGCUCAACCUGGGAACUGCAUUUGUGACUGCACAGCUGGAGUGCGGUAGAGGGGGAUGGAAUUCCGCGUGUAGCAGUGAAAUGCGUAGAUAUCGGGAGGAACAUCAGUGGCGAAGGCGGCCCUCUGGUCCAGUACUGACACUCAAGUGCGAAAGCGUGGGGAGCAAACAGG
rnacentral:rRNA from 1 species